GCGCUCUCUCCCGCGCAGCGCGCCCUCCUUGUCCCACCAUGUGCUUUCAAAGGGCGAUGAAUCUACGGGCUUUAAAUGGCUCUGCUCGGGGGUCGCGGCGGGAUGUCCACAGGUGCCCCCCCCCCCCCCCCGCGUCCGGGCUGUCCCGAGCCUCUCCAGGGGCUAGGAGCACAAACUCCGUUCAUAGAAACGUAAACGGAGGCCCCAGGAGUGAAAGCGCCCUAUCCAGGAUCCUUUGGCGCUGUAAAUCCUCAGCUCUUGGAUUCGGUGACCGCCAACUGCUGGGUGGAAUGGGUAACCUCUCUAGUGAGCAAAACGGCGCCUUCUGCCCGCGGAACUGCAAGACCCACGCUACUCUCCUCCCUGCUGCAUAUUCAUUGAUGCGGACGCGACCCUGGAGGAAAGUUCAGUCCUGAGGUGGAGAGGGUUGGGGGUGGCGGAAUGGGACCCCGGGCUGCCCUGGACCGCGGCCGGGUGGACGGUGGGGGGGAAUGCUGGGGCUGCCCAGCAGGAGGACAGACAGCAGUCACCCGUGACGGUGCUUUCCCUGUGGCCUGCACAUUCCGAGAGCCGCCCAAAGACGUGGGCGCAGAGAGGCCUCCUAGCAGAACGCCCCAGGCAAGGUGAGGCCAGGUGCAGGAGCGCCUCAAACCUCAAGGACCAGCAAACAAACCUCCUGAUGGGUAGGCGAGCUGCAUAGGUGAGAGCAGCAGAGUACCUCCACGCUCAUGCUGUGUGAGAAGCUGACUGUCAUCCCCACAGAGGAGAAAAUGGUCGUAGUCUCAGUGUAGCCUGCUGCUUUGCUGUGCUUGUUGUGGAACAUCACAGAAAUCCGAUCUGCUGGAUGUGAAGACCCACAACUGGUGGGGUUGCUGAUAGGCAGUUUGUUCGCUCUGCUUUGUAAUGUUCUGGCAUGCGGUACUAGUCAUCCCUUCUGUUGAUGGGCCAGUGCCCCUGGUUUAGAGCUACUGUGCAGUGAGUUGCUUUGGACAUAUCUUUGUAGGCUCUUGGCAGCAGUUAGACCCUGGGGUGUACUGUUAGGUCACCAGGUUGUGUGUGUGUUAGCUUUGGUGGAUAACCCAAAACAGUUUGUCCAAGUGAUAGCUGGGUCUGCAGUCCUGCAGCACUCUGGGAAGGCCCCAGUGUUAGCAUAGGUAGCUAGAUGUUUGUAAAGGAAAGAAGCAAAGGGAAUCUGACACUGUUGAGCCUCGUGGGUGAGGGAGCUGAAUUGGACACUGGGCCUGUUUAGCUGGGAAGUUGCCGCAUUCAUGGGCUCCCUAGGGGAUUGCAGCAUUGUUCCCCCAAGAGGAUUAGCGCCUCUCCCUUCCCUGUGUAGGUAGGAAGGACCAAUUUUUCUCUCUUCCCAGGAUACAGCCGUCCACCUCCCCUCCCCCAGACUACAUGGGGAAGAAAUAAACAAUAAAAAGGAAAUUCUUCUGCUGGGCACAUGCCCAGUAGAAGCCAAGAUGAUAAGGGGGAGGUGUUUCCACUUUGAGGCAUGCACAAUAGAAGCUGAGAUGGUGGCCAUAAAGUCCUGUCUGUCUAGUCUGAGAAAAGGAAUAGUUGUAGAAAAUGGAUUGGUUAAGGGGAGGACCUAGUGCCAGCCUGCGAAAUAUUGGGAAGUUUAUUGGUUAGUUUGAAGGAGGUCCCAGUCCCUCCCAAGGCCAAGAUGAUAUAAUCUGAUAUAAUCCCAGUUUAACAAAGAAUCAGUCUCUCUUUCCCCCUCCCUUCCUCUCCCCCUCCCAAAACAUGUGCUCUCUGGGUAACUCAAGCCCUGUUCAUUCGUUUAUUUAGGUGUUCUCUCUCCAUAGCAGCUAUGUGGCCCUAACAGCUGCCUGGGGCCAACAGCAGACAGCACAAGCCUAGGCACAGUGCCAGCCAGAGUGCAGCCAGGAACAGACUAUGCUAGCUGAAUGACAAUAAACAGGGACUAAACUAUACUAAACUUAGGCAUGGCACAUGACUUUUGGGCCUUGACUUUUUUUGUACUGGGCUAGAUGAAGACCAGACUGGAUUUUUUUUUCACAGUGGGAUGAAUGGAGAUGAAGUACUUGGAACCUGGGGGUAGUCUUCUAUCUCCACCCAAAUAAAUUUUGCCAGCAGACCUCA